UUUAACCUUUGAUUUAACCUUUCUGCAAGCUAUUUUUACGUCUAUCUCAAGCUUAUUUUAACCUCAGUAGCCAAUAAAUGCUUAAAGGUCAAACACCAUUCCUAAGAGCCGGGCUCCUCACCCCUGGGAGAAAGCCUGAGAUCACUGAAUUAUUAUUUUUUUUUUAAUAUUUUUUUUUCCCCAAGCAAAAGCCCCUCUUAGAAAUGUCCCAGCGGUAGGAAACCUGUAAGCCAACAAUUUUCACUGUGGGUGCCGACAGAAGGAGCUGGGAAUUUUCCCUCUGAACGCCAUCCUUCCCACUCAAAAACCGCUCAGGAUGUACAGAAUUGAAAGCUGCCCACGGAGCAAUGCAAGGGCUGCAGGCACAGUCCGACAGCGGCAGAGGAUAAAACUCUCCCAAAGAAGAGGAUUCUCUCCUUGCUCUUACCCCAGGCUUUCUUCCCAUUGCUAACAAAGUCAUUAAACCAAACUUUUGGGUGCUGACGGCCGAAUUGCCCACGCUGCGCGUGUGUGUAUCUUGAUACCUUUAGCCCGAAUUGCUGACAUCCAUCUUCGUACAGCUGGAAGCCGUGGGUGCUGCGCUUGCAUGUACGAAGUGCUGCAUCAUGUUAAAUGCUCUGAAAAAGCAGGCAUUACGCUUCUCAGAUGGAGUACCCGGAAUUAGUCAAAACUGACCUUAAUCCAUCCAUGUGUCACCCUGACCCAUCUUCAUAACGGGUGUUUGGGGAGGAUUAAUGAAGGUGCUGAAGCACUGAUGCAGCGUAGUGGAAAGUACCGUAGAAGAAGCCACAAGGAAAUUAAUAAUUCUGUCUUCGGAGGAACCUGCCAACGUCCCCAUGUUGGUCCUGUACAGCACUACAGCCUUUCUGGCCAUUUCUCCGGCAUUUCUGGACCAUAACCUUAAAGGAGGUCACAACGUGUCCAAAUCCAGGUACGCACAUCAGUUCCUCGGUGCACAUCAGGUCUGCAGCAUCCCUAAGCACAACCUCAAGGCAUUUUUUUAAUUUUUUUUUUUUGCUAUCCAGAAGAGGAGCGCCUCGUUCCGCUUUGAAAACCGGGCACGGGAAUAUAUGGAGCCGCAUUUUCUACUGCUAUGAGGUCCGAAAGGGGUCAGACGCGUGAAUAAUGUGCUGAGCCAAGGCCGAGGAUUGCGUGCGGGACAAUAGGAACACGCCAGCCUUGCUGAGCCCCUCGCUGACCAUCUCACGCACUAGAGACACAGAAGAAAAAUACCAUCCGAUCACGCAAUUGAAAACUUGGUCUGCUUCCACAAAAGUUGCACUGGCAACAAGAAGUCGGACAUUUCUGCAUUUUGACUGCUUUCCCGGGCAGUAGCGACCACACGCUUAACAGAUUUUUGGCUACCAUAUAUGCGCCCUUAUACAAAACUUGCAUACAAAUAUAUGUAACACACACAUAUAAAAUAUACAGAGCUAAGGCUUGAUGGAUGGAUCUAGAGAAGGGUCAUGUAUAUGAUAUAUACGGUACUCGGUUUACAUAGUAUGACAUUUAUGUAACAUUUAUGAAGAGCUGUGACAGGGUGUUGCCAGCUGGCAUUUGCUAAGAGAAGAAAUAAAUCUAAUAAUAAAAACAAAAAAAAGAAGCAUUUUGGAAGAAAUAAUACUGCACAAAUCCUCUAAAAGGACGGAAUUGUCUACACAACAAAGGCUCAGCUGAUUGAUGCUAAAAUAAGCAGUUAUGCAACAAGUAAGAAAUAUAAUCUCCAGGGAAGAAACCAGCAACGUUUGCCUUUCAUCUUCAUUCACCGGUGCUUAUUUUUGCAUGCCUACAAGAAAAACACGGGCAACCUUUCGAUGAUGAGCAGGGGGGACUGACACGCACGCUCCGUGGCCUGAGCGAUAUUCCCAAGCAGCAAACUUCACCUGGACGCAGCCAGCAGAGAAGGAGGCACGUGGGACCUGGGACUGGCGACGGCGGUUCAGAAGGACCUAAGAGUAGCCAGAAGGACAAAUCAGCUGCUAAAGCAUUUGAGGAAAAGAGAUAAAGAUGGAAAGUGAAAGAUUUCUUGAGAUACUUCACACAAUAUUUAUUUCAAGGUAAUUCAUCGGGUCCGAUUAUAGCCAGGAGCCGAUACAACACGCUCAAAUACCAGCUCUUGCAAAGGGUGCCUGAAAGCUGGCUCCGAAAGCCACGGCAUCGACAACAGCUGGCACAGCCAGACGACCUCGUUCAGAAAACGCACAGGAAGAACAGACCAGAGAAGAGAAAUCUUAAUUUGCAGAGGGAAAACCGUACCAAGUGAGACCCAGGCUGGCCCUACGCCUGAUCUGUAAGUCCUGAAAUCUUUAGAGAAAAGCAGCAGGAACUGCAACAGAGGAGCAUCGAUCAUUCAUCCUACGGAGCGGAGGCUCAUGCCAGAGAUCACAUCAGCCACAGUCCAGAAAACAUACCUGCCGCCUUGACGUUUUUUCCAACCAAGGCCCUUAAAGUUUCAAUAAUCACCACUAUCGAGACUAGUUCAGACCAGUGCUUUCUGUUGAUACAUAAAAAUAUUUGGAAGUUUAGUUUCCGGCACUGUAAACUCCCUUAAUUCAGUACCAUGCACACCUAUAAAAAAAUUAUACACAGAGCAACUUAUAGUAAUAAGGAGCUUUGAUAAUAGUUUGAUAAUAGCUAAGGAAGAACCUGAGGUUUGAAAGCAAACUAUCAGCAAUAGCAGAUUUGCAAGUUCAGCUAUGGGAAGGACCACAAAAAUCUGAGUGCACGCGAUGUAUCUGCCUUUUAUUGACUGCUCUGUGGGGGUCUGCAUGUCUUGUUGAAGUUGGGAGCUGGAGACUGCACUCCGUGUUGAUUCUGAUUAUAAAGUGGUGGUAAUUAAACCUCUGGAGCAUUAAGUUACCAUUUUAACCAAAUGCCUGCGUUUUAUCUUGAUGGGAAA